GCGAAGAACCUUACCAGGUCUUGACAUCCUCUGACAACCCUAGAGAUAGGGCUUUCCCCUUCGGGGGACAGAGUGACAGGUGGUGCAUGGUUGUCGUCAGCUCGUGUCGUGAGAUGUUGGGUUAAGUCCCGCAACGAGCGCAACCCUUGAUCUUAGUUGCCAGCAUUCAGUUGGGCACUYUAAGAUGACUGCCGGUGACAAACCGGAGGAAGGUGGGGAUGACGUCAAAUCAUCAUGCCCCUUAUGACCUGGGCUACACACGUGCUACAAUGGACGGUACAAAGGGCAGCGAGACCGCGAGGUUUAGCCAAUCCCAUAAAACCGUUCUCAGUUCGGAUUGUAGGCUGCAACUCGCCUACAUGAAGCUGGAAUCGCUAGUAAUCGC
rnacentral:rRNA from 2 species